rnacentral:lncRNA from 1 species
UGUUUCCGGUUCCGGCUCAGGCUAGGGUCACGGGGUCGGGCCGAGCUGCGACCAGACCCGGCCCGGCUGCGAGCUCGAGCUCCCCAGCGCGCGUGAGGGCAGGCACCCGUCCUAACGGUUGUUUCAGUUACAGUAGUACUAGGAGGCCCCAGUUAUUCUAGAAAAUGGAAAGGAGAAAAGAAGCAACUGAAGACUCCAACUGAGGCUCCAACCUGCAGCAUUGCCGACUUUGCCAGAUCCCUUCUAAAGAUUCAUUCAGCAUUCUUUGGAGCAUCAAGUCUUGGCCAGCCCUGGAGAAGAACUUCUUAGUCAGCUGGGAAACAAAGGCUGCCUUCAGUGAACUAAGACCCAAAUUGUGGGCCUGCAUCCUGCAACCUGAAAGACACAACUGUUACACUUCCAGGAGCCUCCGAAGUCAGCGAGGAGAGUUCCCCAGUGACCCAUUAACAACAGAUUUUUAUGGAAAAGAAGCAUGGUUAAACUGGUGA